UCGAACGGUAACGCGGGGCAACCUGGCGACGAGUGGCGAACGGGUGAGUAAUACAUCGGAACGUGUCCAGUAGUGUGGGAUAGCCCGGCGAAAGCCGGAUUAAUACCGCAUACGACCUAUGGGUGAAAGGGGGGGAUCGCAAGACCUCUCGCUAUUGGAGCGGCCGAUGUCAGAUUAGGUAGUUGGUAGGGUAAAAGCCUACCAAGCCUGCGAUCUGUAGCUGGUCUGAGAGGACGAUCAGCCACACUGGGACUGAGACACGGCCCAGACUCCUACGGGAGGCAGCAGUGGGGAAUUUUGGACAAUGGGGGAAACCCUGAUCCAGCCAUGCCGCGUGCGGGAAGAAGGCCUUCGGGUUGUAAACCGCUUUUGUCAGGGAAGAAACGCUCGAGAUUAAUACUUUCGAGCAAUGACGGUACCUGAAGAAUAAGCACCGGCUAACUACGUGCCAGCAGCCGCGGUAAUACGUAGGGUGCAAGCGUUA
rnacentral:rRNA from 1 species